UCAUAUCUACUAAUAUUUGUAGGUCAAACUUUUCCGGCCUAAGUACUGCGUGAGCAGUAUAGAGAACACCACUGUAUGCUGGGAACCCCUAAAACCUUUGUGCACCUAGAAGUAUUGAGUAAUAGGAAUAGGCGCACAGUUAUGAGUGUGAAGAAGUGUUGUGGACAAUGGGGGGGCAAUCAGCAGGAAACCAACCCUUUUAUUAUUAGACUAAUAUAGUAGGUAGUAGGAUCCUCAGAGACUAUACGUGGUGCAGCAAUUUCCAACGAGUACGGGAGUAGCUUGAAGAUAUAGUCCAGAGUUCAAUGAAAAUUGGAU
rnacentral:ncRNA from 1 species